AAGGGGGCCUGUAAAACUCUAAUUUACAGCUUCUGAAUGCAACCCAGACACUUUAAUUAAGCUAAAGCCCC
rnacentral:tRNA from 1 species